GAGAGAUAGUUCAGUGGUUAAGAGCACUGGUUGCUUUUCCAGAGGACCUGGGUUCAAAUCCCAGCUCCCA
rnacentral:tRNA from 1 species